CAGGAGUAGUGUCCCUGCUGUUCAGCGAUGUGACUGAGCCCCACCCUCCCAGGGUACCUGCCAUGUUCAGUUCCAAGGUGUACAGAGGUGGAGAGCUUCCAGUUUAGCCCCAGGUCCUGUGUGCCCUGAAGGCACAAUCUCCCUCACACCCUGGGGCCCCACUCCCCUCAGCCAGCCGGCUGUUGCGCUUCCCAUCUGCCUGGGGCCGUUCACAUCUCCCCAGCUGUUGUCCCUGGGAACUGUGGUGCGUGUACCUGAGCACAGGAGCACCUCCCUGAGCGCCUGUUGUCAAGGAGGGGGCAGCAUUCUCUGUACCCCCCCCAGUGUCUCCCUUCUGCAUCAGCCCAAGAGAGUUCAUGCAGCUCCCUGGGCUGCACCAGGCCCUCCCUGUCUUUUCCCUUGAGUGGAAGGACAGUGUGCCUCGCUUAAAAGCUGUGCAAACCAAGACAUUUUUUCCCCCCAGAACUAUUUUUUAGUUCAUUUCACAGUGGGAGAGAAGAGAAAAAAUAAUCCCAGUGACAGCAUACAACAGCCCCCUUCCCAAAGCCAUGGCACCACUUGCUCAAGGUUCUUUCUGUAACAGGGGCCCCUGUGCUUCAUGGGCCCCAAGGUAUUCCUCACGGCCACCGCAGAGGGAUGUGAGGAGGUCGGAGCAGGCCCUGCCUGAGCAGCUGGACUCCCGGGACCCAGGCAGGAUCCUGCAGGGGCUCAUGGUGCUUGCUCCACUUCCCACCUCUCUUAAGGGGGUGGGAGUGUCCACUGCUGUUCUACCCUCAGCCCACUGGGGACACUCCGGGCUGGGGUGCUGGGAUUUAGAAGGUGGCCAGUUAGACUAGAACAAGCUGUUCCUAGAAAAUUUCCCCACUCUUCCUGGGGCAUCACAUGCUUCCGCUCGGACUCACUGGCGCAAUACCAAGAUAUUUCUAUUAUGAAAAAGCAUUUUGUGUUGAGCUGGCACUCGAUAUUUAUAUACAUGGGUGUGCAUGUGCAUGUCUGUGCAUGUGCUGGAGGCUUUUGUGAUUGGUGCUUAUUAUAGAAAUCUCAAAAAUAGAUGCCUGCAAAGGCACAGAAGCAUCCCUUCCCCAGCAGGAGCCAUGAAAAUCCCCCUUUAUUAUGGCACCAAAGGGGCCUCGCAGCCGCCAGGGCCCAGUUGCCAAGUACAAUGUGGAGCCUCCCGGGAGGACUCGGCAGCCCCCUAGGGCAUUGUUCGGAGGAGAUCUGAAAGAUGCCUGCUGGGUUCCCUAGAAUUGUUCCAUCGAAAACACAGCCUGUGGGCAGUGAGAACAAGCUCUCUAAAAAUAACUCUGACAGUCUGGCGUGUCCCAGCCCUCAUAUGGGUUUCCAGGGCAGAGGGUGCUGUGUGUGCAUGCACGCCUGUGUGUGCAUGCAUGUGCUUAUCCCAUUCUGGAAUCUGACUGAAAUGCGCUCUGUUCUGCCUCCAGUGCCACGGUCUCUCCAUCGAUGGUUAUGUCCUCCCAUCCUCGACGACCCGAGAGGUACGAUGAGAAAAACGCAGAGGCGGGCCCCUCUGUGGGUUCACGAUAAGGGCUUCAUUGCAUGGACUCUGACCUCUUGUGCUCCUUUUGGGCUCAUUCUAAUUGACAGGCCAUUUGUAGCUCUGAGCUGUCUAGCCACUUCACCCUCAUAUUUGGCAAAAAUGUCCUUCCUGCAUUUAUUGGCAUCAGCCUUUUUCUUCACCUGAGACUCAGCAUUUCUAGGCUAGCAAGCUCUUUGCAUUUGCCAGACACCCCUUAGAACCCUGGUGAAAGAAAGGAGCCAAUCUCCAUGCCACCCUGGCCUGCCCCAUGGGCAGCCUUCUCGGCCCUUUUCUCCAACUAAAAACAGUAAUCGUCCCUAGGUGAUUUGUCAUUCUUUUUAACAUGGAUUUUUUUAGUUUUACCCCACCCAAAGCACCAUGCUUCAUGCUGGAAGGAAUAAUGAAGAGGAAAGAGAAACCAGAAAUGGUCCCUGCUCCCUGGAAGCUGUAGUCGAUGGGGGGAAGGGUAGAUAAAUCAGGCUAGGACAGGCUGGCUCCUGGAGGCACACUCCAGCCUCCUGCUCUGAGGGCCACUGCCAGCAGGAUCCAGAGAGUGGCCAGAAAAGGGGCAGCAGUGGCGCUGAGCCCCGAGCCCAGGCACUGCUACGGUCACCCUUGGUUACUCGGUGAUUGAUAGGGCUGCAUCUGUCCUCUCACUGGUGGUUGCCUGCCUGUCCCUUUGGUAGAUGACCCCGCAUGAGAUCAAGUUUGCUGUCCAUGUCGAAUCGGUGCUGAAUCGCGUGCCGCAGCCCGAGUACCGGCAGCUGCUGGUGGAAGCCAUCAUGGUGCUGACGCUGCUCUCGGACACGGAGAUGACCAGCAUCGGGGGCAUCAUCCACGUGGACCAGAUCGUGCAGAUGGCCAGUCAGCUGUUCUUGCAGGACCAGGUGUCAAUUGGCGCCAUGGACACCCUGGAGAAAGACCAAGCCACAGGAAUCUGCCACUUCUUUUAUGACAGCGCUCCGAGUGGGGCUUACGGGACGAUGACCUACCUAACAAGAGCAGUGGCUUCUUAUUUGCAGGAAUUGUUGCCCAAUUCGGGCUGCCAGAUGCAAUAGGGUCUCACCUGGAAACAUGGUCACACUCUCAAUCUGUCACGUGCCCCCUAGCCUUACUGGGAACCUUCUGUCCCCCAAGAUCCCCUGUGCUAUCAGGAAAGCAUGUCCCAUCAGAAACACUCUCGGGGGGCAAUGGUAGCACUCACCCUGAAACUGAUGUAUGUUAAAGCCACAGAGAUAGAGCUGAGGAGUCCUGUGUUCCCCCGCAAGGAGCACCCCGGGAUCAUUUUCUAGGUUCAUUUCUCUGGAACAUUUGCUGUAGCAUCUGGUCUCACGGACUCUGAGGAGGAAUUGGAAAUUGGUCUCUUUUGAGUGCAGAGGGAACUGAGACGCCAGCUUAAAUUGGCUCUUGCAGAGAGUUACAGAAAUAGUUUCGAUGAGCUAGUGACACAUCCUAAAGAUGCAAAGAUCCUCCCGGCGGCAGUAGCCUUGACAAGGGCCACCUCUUCACAGGAUGCAGUCUGUCUGUGCACCAAACUCUUCACCAAAUAGAACACUUGUGUCUCUCUGUGG
rnacentral:sRNA from 1 species